rnacentral:sRNA from 1 species
UUCUUCCGAGGCGGGUUAAGUUCGCGACGUCCUUGUCGCAACACCCGCACUAGCACGUCCUGUGCG